GGGGAUGAAUUUGGUUUCGACGGGAAUUUAGAUGUUUAAGACAGCAUUCCGUGUUCUCAGCAAGCACGUAAAAAAGGCUGAAAAGUCAAAAUAAACGACAACUAUAAUUACGCUUUAGCUGCUUAAUAAAUAAGCCGCUCGUCUUUUACCGCCUCCACUGCUCACAUGGAAGGUAAAAGGCGCCAAAAUUGUGAGCUGGCUGCGAGGUUUAUCUGAGCCGGACAGUGAGAAAACAUCAGGUGUAGGUUUUGCUCCGCUAUGCCGGCGGUGCUUGGCAAAGCUGAAAUUCAAACGCUGGCUAUGAAUGUAGGCGUCUUAAUGGUCUUGUUUUCGGACCCGGGUUCGACUCCCGGCAUCUCCACUA
rfam:Chlorobi bacterium OLB5 TZ05_CHB002CONTIG000205, whole genome shotgun sequence.